CCUACGGGUGGCAGCAGUGAGGAAUAUUGGUCAAUGGGCGCGAGCCUGAACCAGCCAAGUAGCGUGAAGGAUGACUGCCCUACGGGUUGUAAACUUCUUUUAUACAGGAAUAAAGUGAUGCACGUGUGCCUGUUUGUAUGUACUUUAUGAAUAAGGAUCGGCUAACUCCGUGCCAGCAGCCGCGGUAAUACGGAGGAUCCGAGCGUUAUCCGGAUUUAUUGGGUUUAACGGGAGCGUAGGUGGGUUGUUAAGUGAGUUGUGAAAGUUUGCGGCUCAACCGUGAAAUUGCAAUUGAUACUGGCAGCCUUGAGUGCAGUUGAGGUAGGCGGAAUUCGUGGUGUAGCGGUGAAAUGCUUAGAUAUCACGAAGAACUCCGAUUGCGAAGGCAGCCUACUAAACUGUCACUGACGCUGAUGCUCGAAAGUGUGGGUAUCAAACAGGAUUAGAUACCCUAGUAGUC
rnacentral:rRNA from 1 species